rnacentral:lncRNA from 1 species
GCUAGCAAAAGACAAGGCCGCCAUGAACAUAUGGAAGCGAUUGCUUGGAAGGCAUUGAUUCUCUGAAUCACAGGUAUAUUCAUUUGUUUCAUUCAAAGAGGUUCUGGUUUCUGGAAACAAGUUUUAGAUUGAAGGUUGUUUCCUUCUGGUUAAUCUUUUUAGUAGCGAGAUUAUGUCAGUGAUGUUAUGCCUCUAAGAUCUAUGAUAAAGUAAGGAUUUCUGCUAUGUCAACUCUACUUAACAAAUGGGAAAACAAAUUGUUAUUCAAGUCAACAGAACAGAGGAAGCUGAUUGACAUUUGUCAUGGAGGAUAGGAUGAGGAAGUAUGCUUUGGCUUGAAGGAGCAUAUGCAGACUUAAUAGGCUAGAAAGCAAACAACUACAAGUUUCUGCAGACUCCUGUAACAUUUUGAUGUCUUUUACUUUAGGAAGGAAACACCAACAAUUGCUUUAGGCUUGUAUCGAAACACUGCAUUACCAGCAACCAAAACCUCUCUUGACAGUGAUAGGCUUCCCAGAGAAAUAAUCUUUACUUUUGCAGAAUGAAAAACAAAAUAAAUUCUGUGUUCUUUUCAACCAAAAACAAAAUACAGAAAUGAUGCCAAUCCAACAAGAACACAAAAACAUAACAACAUUUGCAGAUUAAUGGAGUAAAAAGUACACAGUUAAGAAUAUUACACAGAUUAAUUGAGUAAAGCUUUGGUCAAUAAGAAAUUCCAUUACAAAUUGAUAAACUUAGAUGCCAUGGAAAUUGAUCUUGCUUGAUUAUGUCUCUGCAAGUAAAGGUGAAAACUUAAUGUUUCUUUCUCAAUUUUUUCCUCUGUAACUUUAAAGAGAACAUCGCUCCUGGUUUUGGGCAUCUAAUCUACUUGUUUCCAAGCAAAUAGAUAUAUCUGUAGUUUAUCACCUCAUCCAUGACAGCAUGCUUGUAAAGCUGAUGGGAUACACCUUUGUUUUUUCCGGAUCAUCAUGAUUUCAUGAAUUGGAUGCAUUCAAUGCUCUUUAUGCUAAUGAAAUGAUUUGAUGUGUGACAAAUCUCAAGUUGAGAAGUUUGUGGGUAUGCCAUAAAUCACUGUCAUGUUCGAAAACAUUUCAAACCAAUCUAUCAACAAGUGAAGUUCCAUUUUACUUUUCCUCUUGGAAGUUGGUGUAUGUUGGAAUUAAAUUACCAAUACCAAACAAAAGUCUAUUCUCUAUGGCAUCAUUAGUGUGGCAAUUAUUUUAUCAUGCAUAGUGAUGUGUUUGGUGUUUUCUUGCAGGGGUCAACGGGCUGCUGUAAAGUGACUCUUUCUCACAGAAAGAAUGUUAAAUCCAUGGAGAAGAAGAACAUAUUCCAAAAGGUUCUACAUCAAAGGGUAAGGCAUAGAUGGCUCAGCCUUGUUCACUCAGAUACGGUAGUGCGAGAGCUCCGCCGACGGAGUUGCAUCCCCUUGAUACUUGGAGUGUGUUCCUUAGACGUGGCCACGAUUAGCUCUGCCAUAAACAUGAGGAGCAGAGAAGGUAGACAGAUCAACAAUCAGCACUCGUUGACAAUGAUAGCCUGUGAGAUUUCAGUUGUUGAAUGAGUGAAGCAAUCUAAGAUGUGGGGACUAAAAAUGAAAUGCUAGGAGAUUAUAUCAGAGCCUUUAUCUCGAG